rnacentral:lncRNA from 1 species
GGAGAACAGCUAAUCAAAGGCUAGUGCAGAAAACUGAUUUCAGCUGUCUCUUGAUAGGUUUCACAUUUUUCAGUCAUCUUCCCCCCUCCCAAUACAGUCCCCUUCCCUAAAACUGGGAGGAAAGCAAAGGCAAGUUUAAAAUCUCCAGAAAUGCAUGUCUAUCUACAGGAAAUUAAGGGAAAUUUCUUCUCCCCUGCCUUGGGCAAAAGCAGAGUGAGCUGGGAGCUUGAAAACAACUGUGUGCCAUGCCUCUGUAUUCCUGGAUAA